CACACUGGACUGAGACACGGUCCAGACUCCUACGGGAGGCAGCAGUGGGGAAUAUUGCACAAUGGGCGCAAGCCUGAUGCAGCCAUGCCGCGUGUAUGAAGAAGGCCUUCGGGUUGUAAAGUACUUUCAGCAGUGAGGAAGGUGAUGUAGUUAAUAACUGCAUCAUUUGACGUUAGCUGCAGAAGAAGCACCGGCUAACUCCGUGCCAGCAGCCGCGGUAAUACGGAGGGUGCGAGCGUUAAUCGGAAUUACUGGGCGUAAAGCGCAUGCAGGUGGAUGAUUAAGUCAGAUGUGAAAGCCCGGGGCUCAACCUCGGAAUUGCAUUUGAAACUGGUCAUCUAGAGUACUGUAGAGGGGGGUAGAAUUUCAGGUGUAGCGGUGAAAUGCGUAGAGAUCUGAAGGAAUACCGGUGGCGAAGGCGGCCCCCUGGACAGAUACUGACACUCAGAUGCGAAAGCGUGGGGAGCAAACAGGAUUAGAUACCCUGGUAGUCCACGCCGUAAACGAUGUCUACUUGGAGGUUGUGGCCUUGAGCCGUGGCUUUCGGAGCUAACGCGUUAAGUAGACCGCCUGGGGAGUACGGUCGCAAGAUUAAAACUCAAAUGAAUUGACGGGGGCCCGCACAAGCGGUGGAGCAUGUGGUUUAAUUCGAUGCAACGCGAAGAACCUUACCUACUCUUGACAUCCAGAGAACUUUCCAGAGAUGGAUUAGUGCCUUCGGGAACUCUGAGACAGGUGCUGCAUGGCUGUCGUCAGCUCGUG
rnacentral:rRNA from 1 species